UAGGGAAUCUUCCACAAUGGGCGAAAGCCUGAUGGAGCAACGCCGCGUGUGUGAUGAAGGGUUUCGGCUCGUAAAACACUGUUGUAAGAGAAGAAUGACAUUGAGAGUAACUGUUCAGGUAUUGACGGUAUUUAACCAGAAAGCCACGGCUAACUACGUGCCAC
rnacentral:rRNA from 1 species